rnacentral:rRNA from 1 species
AGAGUUUGAUCCUGGCUCAGGACGAACGCUGGCGGCGUGCUUAACACAUGCAAGUCGAACGAUGAACCACUUCGGUGGGGAUUAGUGGCGAACGGGUGAGUAACACGUGGGCAAUCUGCCCUUCACUCUGGGACAAGCCCUGGAAACGGGGUCUAAUACCGGAUAACACUUCCACUCUCAUGGGUGGGGGUUAAAAGCUCCGGCGGUGAAGGAUGAGCCCGCGGCCUAUCAGCUUGUUGGUGAGGUAAUGGCUCACCAAGGCGACGACGGGUAGCCGGCCUGAGAGGGCGACCGGCCACACUGGGACUGAGACACGGCCCAGACUCCUACGGGAGGCAGCAGUGGGGAAUAUUGCACAAUGGGCGAAAGCCUGAUGCAGCGACGCCGCGUGAGGGAUGACGGCCUUCGGGUUGUAAACCUCUUUCAGCAGGGAAGAAGCGAAAGUGACGGUACCUGCAGAAGAAGCGCCGGCUAACUACGUGCCAGCAGCCGCGGUAAUACGUAGGGCGCAAGCGUUGUCCGGAAUUAUUGGGCGUAAAGAGCUCGUAGGCGGCUUGUCACGUCGGGUGUGAAAGCCCGGGGCUUAACCCCGGGUCUGCAUUCGAUACUGCGUGGCUAGAGGUAGGUAGGGGAGAUCGGAAUUCCUGGUGUAGCGGUGAAAUGCGCAGAUAUCAGGAGGAACACCGGUGGCGAAGGCGGAUCUCUGGGCCUUACCUGACGCUCAGGCACGAAAGCUAGGGGAGCGAACAGGAUUAGAUACCCUGGUAGUCCUAGCCGUAAACGUUGGGUGCUAGGUGUGGGCGGAUAUCGACCCCGUCCGUGCCGAAGCUAACGCAUUAAGCACCCCGCCUGGGGAGUACGGCCGCAAGGCUAAAACUCAAAGGAAUUGACGG